AUCACUUAGCCUUUGGGCUAAGAUCAAUUGCAGUAUCUGUUCUUAUCAGUUUAAUAUCUGAUAUGUCAUCUAUCUGAUGACAAUAUAUUAAAUGGAUUUUUGGCACUAAGAAAUGGAAUAGGAGCUUGCUCCUUCCAUUCCACGCAUCGACCUGGUAUUGCAGUACCUCCAGGAAUGGUGCACCAAAA